GGUUAGUCGUAAGGCGAAGCUGCGAAUCGAAGCCCCAGUGAAUGGCGGCCGUAACUAUAACGGUCCUAAGGUAGCGAAAUUCCUUGUCGGGUAAGUUCCGACCUGCACGAAUGGCGUAACGAUCUGAAAGCUGUCUUAACGAGGGACACAGCGAACUUGUAGUACCGGUGAAGAUGCCGGUUUCCCGCAUCUAGACGGAAAGACCCCGUGCACCUUGACUACAACUUGAUAGUGAUUUCGGGUAAAUAAUGCGCAGCAUAGGUGGGAGGCUUUGAUGUCAGGCUUUUGGGCUUGGCGGAGCCACAGGUGAGAUACCACCCUUUAUUUAUUUGGACUCUAACCUCGAUCCGUAAUCCGGAUCAGGGACAUUAUCAGGCGGGUAGUUUGACUGGGGCGGUCGCCUCCUAAAGAGUAACGGAGGCGCUCGAAGGUUGGCUCAGGCUGUUUGGAAAUCAGCCGCAGAGUGUAAACGCAUAAGCCAGCUUAACUGCGAGACAUACACGUCGAGCAGGUACGAAAGUAGGAGUUAGUGAUCCGGCGGUCGCUUAUGGAAGUGCCGUCGCUCAACGGAUAAAAGGUACGCCGGGGAUAACAGGCUGAUCCUGCCCAAGAGUUCACAUCGACGGCAGGGUUUGGCACCUCGAUGUCGGCUCAUCAUAUCCUGGGGCUGAAGAAGGUCCCAAGGGUUCGGCUGUUCGCCGAUUAAAAUGGUACGUGAGCUGGGUUCAGAACGUCGCGAGACAGUUCGGUCCCUAUCUGGUGUGGGCGCAGCAAAAUUGAAGGAAUCUGACCUUAGUACGAGAGGACCGGGUUGGGUUGACCUCUAGUGUACGUGUUAUCGCGCCAGCGGUAUCGCACGGUAGCUAUGUCGAGCAUGGAUAAACGCUGAAUGCAUCUAAGCGUGAAGCCAGACCUAAGAUUAAUUUUGCCAGUGAGACUCGUGGAAGACCACCACGUUGAUAGGAUGGAUAUGUAAGUGCAGCAAUGUAUUUAGUUUACCAUUACUAAUUGUCCCAAGGCUUGACCAU
rnacentral:rRNA from 1 species